ensembl:lncRNA
ACAGACCUGGCAGAUAUAGUACAGCGUUUUCAGCCGCUCCAGCGUUUGUAUGUGUACGCAGACAUUUCUUGACACAACGCCGUGAUUAUGAGAUUUUAAAAAGUAGGCUACCGUUUUCGAAAAAGACCGUAUUAGUUGUGUUGAUAAGUUAACUAUAGCACAUAAUCACUUGCUUGCUAAGAGACUGUCGCCACAGGCUUGUGUUGAAAUUACUUGAUAGUAAUGAAUGAACACGAUUGUAUUUUAUAUUCAUGUGCGGUUUUCAUGUCAUGAGGUUAAAUCAUCUUGACACCAUGAAUCUGACUUAUGUAUUGAUAACUCGUCAGCAACGCUAGUUUGUGCCUUGAGACAAUUUUAUUGCCAGACAGAUUAAGGACGACCCCACUCUGCAGAACGAGUCUACUCCUAUGAUACAACUGCUCAACUGCAGGCAUCAUCAGUUGAUGCUCCAGCUUAACCAGGUGUGAAGAGUUUAGCAGUGCACCAGCAGAGAGCGGAUGGCCUCUGAAUUGUUCCAGGCCCAGGCCAUGACCGGGGUGGCACAGUGGAACUACCAACGGCUGGUGGACCGUAAGGAGCCAGGUGUCAUCCUCCCUGCUGUGUUUGAUCCAGCUGUAAUGGCUGAGUUGAAGUCUGCCUCCAACAAUCCAUUGGCCAGCCGCUCUCUGCUGGUGCACUGCUAAAGCAGGAGAUGCCAACAGACGACCACCAGGAACCUCCAGCAGCAAUGGAACUCUCACAUGCCCUGCCCCUGCUGCUGAGGUCCUCGGCGAGGAGUGCCCGCACCCAAGACAGCUGGACGGGUUUUUUGUGUUGGACAAAACACGCUGGACGCCACCCAUGAAAGAUGCUAUUGACUGCAUGCUGCACAUGGUCCAUCGGUCUGCCACAGAUCCCAACAGCUUGCUGCACCCCUCGACCAGGUUGCACAUAUCCUGCUAUGUGAAGCACCUGGCAAAAUUCCUUAACACGUUCGUCUUUAAACACAAGCAAGGAAAAACUUCUGGAGACUCAGCAGCUGUGGCACUCUAUAACAGAGGGGAGUGAGACGGCUACUGUUCCUGUGGUCACUAUGGUGCCGGCUAUUGUCAAUUCACCUGCACCUCCCCUGUCCACACCUCUGACACAAGGCUCAAUUGAGAAAAUUGUGGAAGGCAUCUUUGAGAAGCAGCAGCACCAGCCAGAACAGAACAGAACAGAAGACAGACAAAGACCUGUCUUGCCUGUGGACAGCCCGUCUUGAUAUGAGACUGAUGAAGGAGCUAUUAUUGCUUUAUUGUGUUCCAGAAAUCUCACAUGCUCUGUCCCUGCUGUUGAGGUCCUCGCCAUGGCGAGAGUGCACAUUCACAUUUGUUGUACACACACGCACACAGUACUCCCUUGAUUACAGUCAUUUGGAGCACAGGGAUAUACGUCUAUGCUUGCCAUUUUCAUUUAGUCAUUGUGAAAAGGUAUAUUUAAAUGCUGGCCUUAAAUGUUCCAUAUCAUUUCUGAAAUGCUUAUCUUUCUGAUUACAAUCCACACGUUUACAUUUGUAUAAAGCGUGC